GCGAGGAUGGCGGAACUGGUAGACGCGCUGGCUUUAGGUGCCAGUACCGUAAGGUGUGGGGGUUCGACUCCCCCUCCUCGUACCA
rnacentral:tRNA from 1 species